rnacentral:rRNA from 1 species
GGGUUGUGAGGUUAAGCGACUAAGCGUACACGGUGGAUGCCCUGGCAGUCAGAGGCGAUGAAGGACGUGCUAAUCUGCGAUAAGCGUCGGUAAGGUGAUAUGAACCGUUAUAACCGGCGAUUUCCGAAUGGGGAAACCCAGUGUGAUUCGUCACACUAUCAUUAACUGAAUCCAUAGGUUAAUGAGGCGAACCGGGGGAACUGAAACAUCUAAGUACCCCGAGGAAAAGAAAUCAACCGAGAUUCCCCCAGUAGCGGCGAGCGAACGGGGAGCAGCCCAGAGCCUGAAUCAGUGUGUGUGUUAGUGGAAGCGUCUGGAAAGGCGCGCGAUACAGGGUGACAGCCCCGUACACAAAAAUGCACAUGCUGUGAGCUCGAUGAGUAGGGCGGGACACGUGGUAUCCUGUCUGAAUAUGGGGGGACCAUCCUCCAAGGCUAAAUACUCCUGACUGACCGAUAGUGAACCAGUACCGUGAGGGAAAGGCGAAAAGAACCCCGGCGAGGGGAGUGAAAAAGAACCUGAAACCGUGUACGUACAAGCAGUGGGAGCACGCUUAGGCGUGUGACUGCGUACCUUUUGUAUAAUGGGUCAGCGACUUAUAUUCUGUAGCAAGGUUAACCGAAUAGGGGAGCCGAAGGGAAACCGAGUCUUAACUGGGCGUUAAGUUGCAGGGUAUAGACCCGAAACCCGGUGAUCUAGCCAUGGGCAGGUUGAAGGUUGGGUAACACUAACUGGAGGACCGAACCGACUAAUGUUGAAAAAUUAGCGGAUGACUUGUGGCUGGGGGUGAAAGGCCAAUCAAACCGGGAGAUAGCUGGUUCUCCCCGAAAGCUAUUUAGGUAGCGCCUCGUGAAUUCAUCUCCGGGGGUAGAGCACUGUUUCGGCAAGGGGGUCAUCCCGACUUACCAACCCGAUGCAAACUGCGAAUACCGGAGAAUGUUAUCACGGGAGACACACGGCGGGUGCUAACGUCCGUCGUGAAGAGGGAAACAACCCAGACCGCCAGCUAAGGUCCCAAAGUCAUGGUUAAGUGGGAAACGAUGUGGGAAGGCCCAGACAGCCAGGAUGUUGGCUUAGAAGCAGCCAUCAUUUAAAGAAAGCGUAAUAGCUCACUGGUCGAGUCGGCCUGCGCGGAAGAUGUAACGGGGCUAAACCAUGCACCGAAGCUGCGGCAGCGACGCUUAUGCGUUGUUGGGUAGGGGAGCGUUCUGUAAGCCUGUGAAGGUGUACUGUGAGGUAUGCUGGAGGUAUCAGAAGUGCGAAUGCUGACAUAAGUAACGAUAAAGCGGGUGAAAAGCCCGCUCGCCGGAAGACCAAGGGUUCCUGUCCAACGUUAAUCGGGGCAGGGUGAGUCGACCCCUAAGGCGAGGCCGAAAGGCGUAGUCGAUGGGAAACAGGUUAAUAUUCCUGUACUUGGUGUUACUGCGAAGGGGGGACGGAGAAGGCUAUGUUGGCCGGGCGACGGUUGUCCCGGUUUAAGCGUGUAGGCUGGUUUUCCAGGCAAAUCCGGAAAAUCAAGGCUGAGGCGUGAUGACGAGGCACUACGGUGCUGAAGCAACAAAUGCCCUGCUUCCAGGAAAAGCCUCUAAGCAUCAGGUAACAUCAAAUCGUACCCCAAACCGACACAGGUGGUCAGGUAGAGAAUACCAAGGCGCUUGAGAGAACUCGGGUGAAGGAACUAGGCAAAAUGGUGCCGUAACUUCGGGAGAAGGCACGCUGAUAUGUAGGUGAAGUCCCUCGCGGAUGGAGCUGAAAUCAGUCGAAGAUACCAGCUGGCUGCAACUGUUUAUUAAAAACACAGCACUGUGCAAACACGAAAGUGGACGUAUACGGUGUGACGCCUGCCCGGUGCCGGAAGGUUAAUUGAUGGGGUUAGCGCAAGCGAAGCUCUUGAUCGAAGCCCCGGUAAACGGCGGCCGUAACUAUAACGGUCCUAAGGUAGCGAAAUUCCUUGUCGGGUAAGUUCCGACCUGCACGAAUGGCGUAAUGAUGGCCAGGCUGUCUCCACCCGAGACUCAGUGAAAUUGAACUCGCUGUGAAGAUGCAGUGUACCCGCGGCAAGACGGAAAGACCCCGUGAACCUUUACUAUAGCUUGACACUGAACAUUGAGCCUUGAUGUGUAGGAUAGGUGGGAGGCUUUGAAGUGUGGACGCCAGUCUGCAUGGAGCCGACCUUGAAAUACCACCCUUUAAUGUUUGAUGUUCUAACGUGGACCCGUAAUCCGGGUUGCGGACAGUGUCUGGUGGGUAGUUUGACUGGGGCGGUCUCCUCCUAAAGAGUAACGGAGGAGCACGAAGGUUGGCUAAUCCUGGUCGGACAUCAGGAGGUUAGUGCAAUGGCAUAAGCCAGCUUGACUGCGAGCGUGACGGCGCGAGCAGGUGCGAAAGCAGGUCAUAGUGAUCCGGUGGUUCUGAAUGGAAGGGCCAUCGCUCAACGGAUAAAAGGUACUCCGGGGAUAACAGGCUGAUACCGCCCAAGAGUUCAUAUCGACGGCGGUGUUUGGCACCUCGAUGUCGGCUCAUCACAUCCUGGGGCUGAAGUAGGUCCCAAGGGUAUGGCUGUUCGCCAUUUAAAGUGGUACGCGAGCUGGGUUUAGAACGUCGUGAGACAGUUCGGUCCCUAUCUGCCGUGGGCGCUGGAGAACUGAGGGGGGCUGCUCCUAGUACGAGAGGACCGGAGUGGACGCAUCACUGGUGUUCGGGUUGUCAUGCCAAUGGCACUGCCCGGUAGCUAAAUGCGGAAGAGAUAAGUGCUGAAAGCAUCUAAGCACGAAACUUGCCCCGAGAUGAGUUCUCCCUGAC